ensembl:snoRNA SNORD83 Small nucleolar RNA SNORD83
GUCAAGUGAUGGUUUCAUUUUGAGAAAUGAGUCUUUUGUGCAGUGCUGACCUUAAUCACUCAUCCUUGACUGACA